rnacentral:rRNA from 1 species
AUUGAACGCUGGCGGCAGGCCUAACACAUGCAAGUCGAACGGUAACAGGGAUCAGCUUGCUGAUUCGCUGACGAGUGGCGGACGGGUGAGUAAUGUCUGGGAAACUGCCUGAUGGAGGGGGAUAACUACUGGAAACGGUAGCUAAUACCGCAUAACGUCGCAAGACCAAAGAGGGGGACCUUCGGGCCUCUUGCCAUCGGAUGUGCCCAGAUGGGAUUAGCUAGUAGGUGGGGUAACGGCUCACCUAGGCGACGAUCCCUAGCUGGUCUGAGAGGAUGACCAGCCACACUGGAACUGAGACACGGUCCAGACUCCUACGGGAGGCAGCAGUGGGGAAUAUUGCUCAAUGGGCGCAAGCCUGAUGCAGCCAUGCCGCGUGUAUGAAGAAGGCCUUCGGGUUGUAAAGUACUUUCAGCGGGGAGGAAGGGAGUAAAGUUAAUACCUUUGCUCAUUGACGUUACCCGAAGAAGAAGCACCGGCUAACUCCGUG